GGUUUGUCGGGAUCCUGAUGGUCACAUUGUGACGUAGGAGCUGACGUACUUCCGUCCCAUCAUGUGCUAUUCCUGUAAUGUAUACCUCCACUGAUUGCACACCCUGCCAGCAGCAACCUACGCAGUACACGCCAGAUGGGUGCCUCAGAUGAUUCCACUGCAAGGAGGAUGUACUUCAAAUGGAUCUUUCCAUAUAGGGUGAUAGAGUGCUGGUGCAGUUAUAUGUGGUGGUGAUGAUGAUUAUCAGCAGGUAUCUGAUUGCUUCUGAUUGGCUUAUUGUGCAUUGACCCCUGCAGAAGAUAGUACUUAAAUUAUUAACAUUGUUGUUA